rnacentral:rRNA from 1 species
AUACGUAGGGUGCGAGCGUUGUCCGGAAUGAUUGGGCGUAAAGGGCGCGUAGGCGGCCCGGUAAGUCUGGAGUGAAAGCCCUGUUUUUAAGAUGGGAAUUGCUUUGGAUACUGUCGGGCUUGAGUGCAGGAGAGGUAAGUGGAAUUCCCCGUGUAGCGGUGAAAUGCGUAGAGAUUCGGAGGAACACCAGUGGCGAAGGCGACUUACUGGACUGUAACUGACGCUGAGGCGCGAAAGUGUGGGGAGCAAACAGGAUUAGAUACCCUGGUAGUCCACACUGUAAACGAUGAAUGCUAGGUGUAGGGGGUAGCGACCCCUUCUGUGCCGCAGGCAACACAAUAAGCAUUCCGCCUGGGGAGUACGGCCGCAAGGUUGAAACUCAAAUGAAUUGACGGGG